rnacentral:rRNA from 1 species
ACACGUAUCCAACCUGCCCUUUACUCGGGGAUAGCCUUUCGAAAGAAAGAUUAAUACCCGAUGGCAUAAUGAUUCCGCAUGGUUUCAUUAUUAAAGGAUUCCGGUAAAGGAUGGGGAUGCGUUCCAUUAGGUUGUUGGUGAGGUAACGGCUCACCAAGCCUUCGAUGGAUAGGGGUUCUGAGAGGAAGGUCCCCCACAUUGGAACUGAGACACGGUCCAAACUCCUACGGGAGGCAGCAGUGAGGAAUAUUGGUCAAUGGGCGCUAGCCUGAACCAGCCAAGUAGCGUGAAGGAUGAAGGCUCUAUGGGUCGUAAACUUCUUUUAUAUAAGAAUAAAGUGCAGUAUGUAUACUGGUUUGUAUGUAUUAUAUGAAUAAGGAUCGGCUAACUCCGUGCCAGCAGCCGCGGUAAUACGGAGGAUCCGAGCGUUAUCCGGAUUUAUUGGGUUU